rnacentral:rRNA from 1 species
UGGGGGACUCAAGACUGCAAUCGCGUGUCGCCCUUAGAGUUUGAUCCUGGCUCAGGACGAACGCUGGCGGCGUGCUUAACACAUGCAAGUCGAACGGUAAGGCCCUUUCGGGGGUACACGAGUGGCGAACGGGUGAGUAACACGUGGGUGAUCUGCCCUGCACUUUGGGAUAAGCCUGGGAAACUGGGUCUAAUACCGAAUACACCUUGCUGGCUGCAUGGCCUGGUGGGGGAAAGCUUUUGCGGUGUGGGAUGGGCCCGCGGCCUAUCAGCUUGUUGGUGGGGUGAUGGCCUACCAAGGCGACGACGGGUAGCCGGCCUGAGAGGGUGUCCGGCCACACUGGGACUGAGAUACGGCCCAGACUCCUACGGGAGGCAGCAGUGGGGAAUAUUGCACAAUGGGCGCAAGCCUGAUGCAGCGACGCCGCGUGAGGGAUGACGGCCUUCGGGUUGUAAACCUCUUUCAGUACCGACGAAGCGUAAGUGACGGUAGGUACAGAAGAAGCACCGGCCAACUACGUGCCAGCAGCCGCGGUAAUACGUAGGGUGCGAGCGUUGUCCGGAAUUACUGGGCGUAAAGAGCUCGUAGGUGGUUUGUCGCGUUGUUCGUGAAAACCGGGGGCUUAACCCUCGGCGUGCGGGCGAUACGGGCAGACUUGAGUACUGCAGGGGAGACUGGAAUUCCUGGUGUAGCGGUGGAAUGCGCAGAUAUCAGGAGGAACACCGGUGGCGAAGGCGGGUCUCUGGGCAGUAACUGACGCUGAGGAGCGAAAGCGUGGGGAGCGAACAGGAUUAGAUACCCUGGUAGUCCACGCCGUAAACGGUGGGUACUAGGUGUGGGUUUCCUUCCUUGGGAUCCGUGCCGUAGCUAACGCAUUAAGUACCCCGCCUGGGGAGUACGGCCGCAAGGCUAAAACUCAAAGAAAUUGACGGGGGCCCGCACAAGCGGCGGAGCAUGUGGAUUAAUUCGAUGCAACGCGAAGAACCUUACCUGGGUUUGACAUGCACAGGACGCCGGCAGAGAUGUCGGUUCCCUUGUGGCCUGUGUGCAGGUGGUGCAUGGCUGUCGUCAGCUCGUGUCGUGAGAUGUUGGGUUAAGUCCCGCAACGAGCGCAACCCUUGUCUCAUGUUGCCAGCACGUAAUGGUGGGGACUCGUGAGAGACUGCCGGGGUCAACUCGGAGGAAGGUGGGGAUGACGUCAAGUCAUCAUGCCCCUUAUGUCCAGGGCUUCACACAUGCUACAAUGGCCGGUACAAAGGGCUGCGAUGCCGUGAGGUGGAGCGAAUCCUUGUUAAAGCCGGUCUCAGUUCGGAUCGGGGUCUGCAACUCGACCCCGUGAAGUCGGAGUCGCUAGUAAUCGCAGAUCAGCAACGCUGCGGUGAAUACGUUCCCGGGCCUUGUACACACCGCCCGUCACGUCAUGAAAGUCGGUAACACCCGAAGCCGGUGGCCUAACCCCUUGGGGAGGGAGCCGUCGAAGGUGGGAUCGGCGAUUGGGACGAAGUCGUAACAAGGUAACCAAGGGCGACACGCGAUUGCAGUGUAACACGAGUGAUCCUGAGUU